rnacentral:lncRNA from 1 species
UAUGGGGAGGGCAUCCUGAGACGCUGACAUUGCCAUGGCAAUUGCUAAAGCUUCUUCUUCUUCAGCUUCCAUCUUCUCUUUGCACUUUUGAUUAUGAUUCACAUCAUCUUUGUAGGUAUCAUCAUUUUCAGCCUUUUCAGGAGACAGGACAGCAACUUCUGACUUAAAAGUUACUGUUGUAUCACUUGAAGGCAUAGAUGCUUCAAGAAGGUCCUCAAUACUGGAGUUGAGCUCUGUAUUGACAUCUAAUCUGCAUUUCUCCUCUACUGGGGUGAACACUGUCUCGUCACUGGGUAUAGCAGCAUUACUACUAUUGCUGCUACAGCCAAAGCUGUCAUCACAUUUGGAACUACUGUUCAGAUCAAGUGUCAUGCUAUUUUUUGAGGGAUCUCCCUGUUUACUUGUAUUACCUGGGGUAGGUCGAGAUGGCUUUGGCCUGUGUAUGUUACUGGAGGGCAAGGGUCUUGACUGAGUAAAGACUGGGGAAAGUUUAUCUGAGUCUUUGUUUUCAGGACAGUUUCUGUGGAAUUGUAGAGAAAACUUGCGCUGUGUUUGAGGAGAUGCAGAAGGUAUUCUGCAGGGAAUGAAUCCCUGAAGUCUAUGCUUAGAGACAUCUGUUGCAGUGCCAGCUGGUACAGAUGGGGUAGAAGAUGAAGGGGUUGACAAGGCUGGAAACAUUAAUUGGGAAUGAUGAGAUAAAGGAGAGGAGUUCAAACACUGACUGUGGGGUCUGCCUUUUGUUUGAACCAUUGGCUUUGGUUGCUCUGUUGUUGUUGUUGUUGAACUAGAAGGUCCUACUGAAAUGCUGGCCAGUCUCUCCGAAAUGUCCUCUGAACUGGCACUCAAUUUUGUAGUACAUAAUCCUUUUCCAGUUUUCUCUAAAUGGAUUGUGCACUCAGGGGAACUGUUCUCUGUGGUUUCCAGAUAGUUGUUGGGAACAGAUGCCUGCAAGAAGCUGUCCUGUUGACCAUCCAAAGUGUCUUCUACGCCCAACUGGAUGGCUUCAGCAAUUUCCACCUCAUCUGCAAUAGCCAUCAAACGGCGACGCAUCCUGGUGAAGCUCAGCUUGUGAAACAUCAGUACUGACAAUAUGAGGAUAAAAUUCAGCAGGAAAUUCCAACAACAGUCUAUCUAUAAGACAAAGGCGGCCAAGAAGUUCUUGCCAAUUGUUUGAUUCAGUUUGGUUUCCAAGAAUACAAUUUAAGACAUAAUCAACACCA